GAUCGGGUCUCGUGCAAUUCGAUCCCGUGAACCCUGUCAGGUCCGGAAGGAAGCAGCAGUAAGCGGAUUUUCGUUUGUGCCGCGAGGGUGCCUGCCCGGC
rnacentral:SRP_RNA from 1 species